CCCGGACACAGGCUGUUGGAUGGACCAGCCUUUCUGAAAGAUCCCAUCCCUGCUCAAGGACAAUGAGUGCAUCCAGUCCACACAGACUGUCACCCCCAACGACGAAGACAGUGACAUCAAGAAAAUUAAGAAGCUUGCCAGACUCGAAUCAGGGGAGCCUGACUCAUUCCCAAGAAAACCAGGGAAAAUCAGAGAAUCCUGCUUGUUGAGAGGGCAGGAGGAGCCCAGUGCCAUCCAGACCAGAAGCUGCAGACUGGCACCCACAGGCAAGUUCAGCCUACCUGUGUGUUCGGGGUUUUUAGUCCACACAGUGUUUUUUCUUUUUAUUUUUUUCUUUUUAAUUUGUUGCCAGUGCUUUAAAAGCUAAAUAUUCCACAUAAAAAUCUGGGUGUCUGGUUUCUCAGAAAUAGUUAACAUCCAUUAAGCACUUUCUAUGUGCCAGACACUAUUCUAGAGCUUUAUGCAGAUUAACUCAUUCCUAACUAAAAACUCCCUGAGGUUUCAUUGUUAUCUGCAUUUUACAUAUGGGGAAGCUGAGGCGCAGAGAGGCAAAGUGACUUUCCUAGGUCACACAGCUGAGUAUUUGCAGAGUGACAUUUAAAUCCUUAAGAAUUUUAAAAGAAUGAGAAUCAGCUUUCCCUUGUUACACUUAGUUUUAUCUUGCUUGUAGAUACAACCUGUGUGUUGUAACUGGGUUGAGGUUAAUACUGACAGAGUUUUCUUUCCCUCUAGGCUAACG
rnacentral:lncRNA from 1 species